CGCUCACCACUUUGUGGUUCAUGACUGGGGUGAAGUCGUAACAAGGUAGCCCUAGGGGAACCUGGGGCUGGAUCACCUCCUUA
rnacentral:rRNA from 1 species